ensembl:lncRNA
CAGUUAUUCUUCAUUCAAUAGUAGAGUCACCAGACUGGGAAGCCAUCACCACUGCUUGGAUUCCAGAUGCUUCUAAAUGUAUAGGCCUUUUAAAGGUCUCUGAAGCCCAUUUUAGGUUUCUUUAAAGCCAGCCUUUAUUUGGGCUGCUAUAACAGAAAUGCCAGCAACUCAAAGGCUUAUAAACAACACACUUGAUUUCUCACACUUCUAGAGGCUGUCCAAGUUCAAGGUCAUGGCAAAGUGGAUUUGGAGUUUGCUGGGAGCCCGCAUCCUCACACCCUUGCCUUCCUAAUAGCUUGAAGAAGCUGGUAGCGUUUGGGCUACUGGCCCCCACCACCAAGGUCAUCCCCCGCUGCUUGCCUUGCUGUUGGGACGGUGCUGGUGUCACAGCAGAGUGCUCAUCUUGGGAUGGCUCGUGUCUCACUACCUCAUCCUUGUGACAAGAAGGUGGAUUUCUCAGCCGCUUCCUUCCCCAGCAGAUCCUGUCCAUAUAUCAGAUGACUCUACACUAACGCUCAACUUCAAACAUGGAGUAAGUGACCAUUGUCAGCAAGCAGGAGUAUAUCGGUUUUUCCUUUCUUCUGGCCUACUUCGAACUGUGGCAUCCAAGCCCCAAACGCCAGUGCGUUCAACAAGCAGCCGCCACAGCACGUCCCCUACGGAAGGUUAGGAAGACUGUGCUGGAGGCACUUCACCUGGAAAUGUCUGAACAUAAUGGACGGGGUUGGGAGGAAGUAGAAGGAAUUCAGGAAGAGUCCACCCAGAGAGGCUGUGAUGAAGUCCAAGAGCAAGUUUAAUGGGGUGACGGAACUGAGAAAGUGGAGCUUGGGGCCAUAAAGCGGAACUUGAGAGGAAAGGCGUGCUCGUAUUUUCUGAGUUUUGCAUUUCACGGAAAUUUUAUGGGUUUAGCAAACACAUAUCUAUGCUGAAGGUUCCAGUGAAAAUAAAUGCUGACUAUAUAGCCACCUCUUGAGCAAGAAUUGACUGGACAUCAUUAAGGUGGGGAGCAUUACCGUAAGUACUAUAUUCAAGCAGUGGAGCUGAAAGUCUGAAGUUUUCAUUCAGAAAAUAAUUAACUUAAAGAGAUAGCAUAGCAAACAGCCC